rnacentral:misc_RNA from 1 species
UUUCCGUAGGUGAACCUGCGGAAGGAUCAUUCAUAAUAAAGUGUUUUAUGGCACUUUUUAAAAAUCCAUAUCCACCUUGUGUGCAAUGGUAGAUCUCGUCAAUCUUGGCGAGAUUUUUAUACAUCAACUCAUUCUUUAACUAAUUUGUCUGAAAAAUAUUAUGAAUACUUAAUUCAAAAUACAACUUUCAACAACGGAUCUCUUGGCUUUC